GGGGAAUUUUCCGCAAUGGGCGAAAGCCUGACGGAGCAAGACCGCGGGGGGGAGGAAGGUUCUUGGAUUGUCAACCCCUUCUCUCAGGGUAAGAAGAAAGUGACGGUACCUGAGGAAGAAGCAUCGGCUAACUCCGUGCCAGCAGCCGCGGUAAUACGGGGGAUGCAAGCGUUAUCCGGAAUGAUUGGGCGUAAAGAGUCCGUAGGUGGCUCAUCAAGUCUGCUGUUAAAGAGCGAGGCUUAACUUCGUAAAAGCAGUGGAAACUGAAGAGCUAGAGUAUAGUAGGGGCAGAGGGAAUUCCUGGUGUAGCGGUGAACUGCGUAGAGAUCAGGAAGAACACCGGUGGCGAAAGCGCUCUGCUGGGCUAAAACUGACACUGAGGGACGAAAGCUAGGGGAGCGAAUGGGAUUAGAUACCCCAGUAGUC
rnacentral:rRNA from 1 species